rnacentral:rRNA from 1 species
CGCACGGGUGAGUAACACGUAUCCAACCUGCCGUCUACUCUUGGACAGCCUUCUGAAAGGAAGAUUAAUACAAGAUGGCAUCAUGAGUCCGCAUGUUCACAUGAUUAAAGGUAUUCCGGUAGACGGUGGGGAUGCGUUCCAUUAGAUAGUAGGCGGGGUAACGGCCCACCUAGUCUUCGAUGGAUAGGGGUUCUGAGAGGAAGGUCCCCCACAUUGGAACUGAGACACGGUCCAA